UACGAAGGGGGCUAGCGUUGCUCGGAAUUACUGGGCGUAAAGCGCACGUAGGCGGAUUGUUAAGUCGGGGGUGAAAUCCUGGAGCUCAACUCCAGAACUGCCUUCGAUACUGGCGAUCUCGAGUUCGGGAGAGGUGAGUGGAACUGCGAGUGUAGAGGUGAAAUUCGUAGAUAUUCGCAAGAACACCAGUGGCGAAGGCGGCUCACUGGCCCGAUACUGACCGCUGAGGCACGAAAGCGUGGGGAGCAAACAGGG
rnacentral:rRNA from 1 species